rnacentral:rRNA from 1 species
CAAUAGCGUAUAUUUAAGUUGCUGCAGUUUAAAAGCUCGUAGUUGGAUUUCGGGUGGGAAUGGCCGGUCCGCCGUUUCGGUGUGCACUUGCUACGCCCACCUUGCUGCCGGGGACGUGCUCUUGAGUUCACGCUCGGGACACGGAGUCGGCGAGGUUACUUUGAGUAAAUUAGAGUGUUCAAAGCAGGCCUACGCUCUGAAUACAUUAGCAUGGAAUAACACGAUAGGACUCUGGCCUAUCUUGUUGGUCUGUAGGACCGGAGUAAUGAUUAAGAGGGACAGUCGGGGGCAUUCGUAUUUCAUUGUCAGAGGUGAAAUUCUUGGAUUUAUGAAAGACGAACUACUGCGAAAGCAUUUGCCAAGGAUGUUUUCAUUAA